GAUGAACGCUGGCGGCGUGCCUAAUACAUGCAAGUCGAGCGAACAGACGAGGAGCUUGCUCCUCUGACGUUAGCGGCGGACGGGUGAGUAACACGUGGAUAACCUACCUAUAAGACUGGGAUAACUUCGGGAAACCGGCGCUAAUACCGGAUAAUAUAUUGAACCGCAUGGUUCAAUAGUGAGAGACGGCUUUGGUGUCACUUAUAGAUGGAUCCGCGCCGCAUUAGCUAGUUGGUAAGGUAACGGCUUACCAAGGCAACGAUGCGUAGCCGACCUGAGAGGGUGAUCGGCCACACUGGAACUGAGACACGGUCCAGACUCCUACGGGAGGCAGCAGUAGGGAAUCUUCCGCAAUGGGCGAAAGCCUUACGGAGCAACGCCGCGUGAGUUAUGAAGAUCUUCGGAUCGGAAAACUCUGUUAUUAGGGAAGAACAAAUGUGUAAGUAACUAUGCACGUCUUGACGGUACCUAGUCAGAAAGCCACGGCUAACUACGUG
rnacentral:rRNA from 1 species